rnacentral:rRNA from 1 species
GAAUUGUUCGCAAUGGGCGCAAGCCUGACGACGCAACGCCGCGUGGGGGAUGAAGGUCUUCGGAUUGUAAACCCCUGUCGAGCGGGACGAAUGGCUCACGAGCUAAUCAUCGUGAGAAUGACGGUACCGCUAAAGGAAGCCACGGCUAACUCUGUGCCAGCAGCCGCGGUAAUACAGAGGUGGCAAGCGUUGUUCGGAAUUACUGGGCGUAAAGGGCGCGUAGGCGGCCAUCUAAGUCAGACGUGAAAUCCCCCGGCUUAACCUGGGAACUGCGUCUGAUACUGGACGGCUUGAGUAUGGGAGAGGGAUGUAGAAUUCCAGGUGUAGCGGUGAAAUGCGUAGAUAUCUGGAGGAAUACCGGUGGCGAAGGCGGCAUCCUGGACCAUUACUGACGCUGAGGCGCGAAAGCUAGGGGAGCAAAC